ensembl:snRNA U6 U6 spliceosomal RNA
GUGGUUGCUUCAGCAGCACACACACUAAAAUGGGAAGUAUACAGAGAAGACUAGCAUGGCCCCUGCACCAGGAGGGACAUGAUUUAGGGGAUUGAGCGUUCCUU